rnacentral:rRNA from 1 species
CUACGGGUCGCACCAGUGAGGAAUAUUGCACAAUGGAGGAAACUCUGAUGCAGCAACGCCGCGUGGAGGAUGACGCAUUUCGGUGUGUAAACUCCUUUUAUAUGUCAAGAAAAUGACGGUAGCAUAUGAAUAAGCACCGGCUAACUCCGUGCCAGCAGCCGCGGUAAUACGGAGGGUGCAAGCGUUACUCGGAAUCACUGGGCGUAAAGGACGCGUAGGCGGGAUAUCAAGUCAGGUGUGAAAUCCUACAGCUUAACUGUAGAACUGCACUUGAAACUGGUAACCUAGAGUAUGGGAGGGGGAGAUGGAAUUAGUGGUGUAGGGGUAAAAUCCGUAGAUAUCACUAGGAAUACCUAAAGCGAAGGCGAUCUCCUGGAACAUUACUGACGCUAAGGCGUGAAAGCGUGGGGGGCAAACAGGAUUAGAUACCCCCGUAGUC